CCAAUAGCGUAUAUUAAAGUUGUUGCAGUUAAAAAGCUCGUAGUUGAAUUUCGGGGUUCUACCGUUGGUCGGGCUAUUGUUUGUACUGGCGUGUAGAAUUUCUACCUUCUGGGGAACUAUCAUGUUAUUAAUUUAGCGUGGUAGGAAACCAGGACCUUUACCUUGAAAAAAUUAGAGUGUUCAAAGCAGGCUUAUGUCUGAGUACAUUAGCAUGGAAUAAUAAAAUAGGACGGUGGUCCUGUUUUGUUGGUUUCUGAAUCACCGCAAUGAUUAAUAGGGAUAGUUGGGGGCAUUGGUAUUCAAUUGUCAGAGGUGAAAUUCUUGGAUUUAUUGAAGACUAACUACUGCGAAAGCAUUUGCCAAGGAUGUUUUCAUUAAUCAAGAACGAAAGUUAGGGGAUCGAAGACGAUCAGAUACCGUCGUAGUCUUAACCAUAAACUAUGCCGACUAGGGAUCGGACGAUGUUAAUUUUUCUUGACUCGUUCGGCGCCUUACG
rnacentral:rRNA from 1 species